UUUAGAUCAUAGAGUUACAGGCACUUUGGGUUUUCUUUCUUUGUAUUUUCAAAUUUUCUAUAAUGAUUAUGUGUUGUUUUUCUACAUGAUUAUAUAUUAUGGUCACAAUAUAAAGACAAAUUCAUUUUUAAAAAUAAUUACCUGAAACCUAUGAACAAUAAUAAUGUAUUUGACAAUGUCCCAUGUGGAGCAUAUCACAAAUAUCCUACCUACAUUUUAGAGACUACCCAACUUGCACAUGGCCAUUUAGGAAGCUAAUGGUGGGAUUAAGGAUUGAAUUUGGAGAAUGUUGAGGUUGUUUGCUGUCUUCCUGAGAACCCUUGCCCACGUGCCUAUGGUAGGCAGACUGCUGGCAUCACUAUUUCAUGGCCUGUGUACCAUUUGGGGGAAGAGGAGAUGGACACUGCGAGGGCGAGUCAGCCAGGGCAGCCUCCCCCAGGCAGCUCUCCCUGCUCCCACUGGAAAUGGGAAAGCAGGGUGAGUCAUAGGUCAGAUGGCCUCCUGAAUCUUGGUUUCCAGCUUGUUUAAGUUUGUAAGUUCAGAACAACUGUUCAGCUUUGUUCUUACUUUGUUUGUGUUACACUGGGAUCCAGUCAUCCAUUGGCACAGAGGCACAGUUUCCACUUUGAUACAAUCUGUGUCAGCCUGGCAGUUAAUUUAUUUAGCAGCAUCUUAAAUUUUUUUUUUUUCAUAAAAUCCAGCUCCUGCAGGAUAUUUAUCAGCAUCUUUGCAAGACAGGAUGAAUUCAAAAUAAAGUAUAGGAGAAGAAACAUUCAGGUAUGAGCAGUGGAGGGAUGCAUAAUUAUAUUGUUCCAUCUUACCAGGCCGGGGGUUUGAUGUGACACAAGGAUGCUAUCAAAGUAGUCAAUAUUAGCAAAAAGAGAUGGCUGUUUUGGAGAUGUGCUGCUCCAAAUGACCAGAAGGACCUAUAGCCUCCUCUAGAUUCACACACAACCCUAGUGAACUUAUGCUGCCCCUUCCAGGUGAAACUCAAAUGCUAAUGGGGGCAGUUGGUAGGAUAGGACAUACGAGGUGGGGAGGCAGAGAGGGAAGGUUAUUUUCCAGUGCUCAUCUGAGUGGGAACUGAUAAGGGACUCCAUGGGGAAAAUGAAGAAAUGCUUUGUAUAUUCCCCUGAACUCUAGUUAGGCCUAACCUGCUAAAAGCCAGACUUCGUUUCUGAUAACGGGCUGUACCUUCAUGCCCUUGUAGGUGUAAUGGACAUAAUGAGAGGUUAGAGACUUUGUCCUGAAUUUUUACAUGCUGAUGUAAGCAUGGGAACCAAGACUUUUUGGCCAACAUGGACCCGAAGAUCCAUGGAGGGGAGCCAGCUUGGUAUUGCUGAGUGCUUGCUAUGUACUGGCAUUGCUGAGCGCCUGCUGUUUGCUGCCCUUACAUCGUGCUGUGGAGGCAUGGAAAACAGUCUGCCUUCUGGGGCAGGAGAGGGCUGCACUUCUGGGAAGUCUGGAACCUGGGCAAAGCUUCACCAAAUGCAUCCUCUGCAGUUCCCUGGGUCCCAAGAUGGAGGCUUGCUCUGUCACCAGACUGGAGUGCAGUGACACGAUCUCCGCUCACUGCAACCUCUGCCUCCUGGGUUCAAGAGGUUCUCCUUCCUCAGCCUCCCAAGAUUGUGGUGAGGAGCAAAUGAAUCAACGCAUGGGCAAGGGAUGGUCGCAUCUGUGAAAGGAAAUUCAAUCUCGGGACCCCAAAAUCCUACACCAAAGAGAAAAGUCAAGCUGGGAACUGCAUCAGGCAAACCUGCCUCCCAUUUAAUUGCUAAAUAAGAUAGCUAUAAAGAUUUUUUAAAAAAGAAAACAACUACAUAUCUCCGUCACAAUUUGCCUGCAAGAAAAUUUUUGUGGGCCUCAAGAUCUUUACCCUAAAAUGGUUUUGUUGAAUUUCACCUUGGAAAUGUAAGUUGAUAGCUGAUCUUCACAGCUGCGGGACAAAGGACAGAACUCAAAGUCAUCCCUCUGCUCACCUGAGACAAAUGCAUAUCUGAUUGCUUUCUCUGCCUUACUGUUUAUGCAAAACUGCAGAUUCACUAAGGCUAAGUGACCAUUCCUCUACCCACUCCUCACAUGUAAAUCGUGUAUUCAGUGAAAGGCUGAUCAAAGACUCGAAAGACUGCAACCAUUUGUCUCUUACCUACCUGUGACCUGGAAGCCCCCGUUCCCGUGCUUUGAGUUGUCCUGCCUUUCCAGACCAAACCAAUGUACCUCUUACACAUAUUGAUUGAUGUCUCAUGUCUGUCUAAAUGCAUAAAAUCAAGCUGUGACCCAACCACCAGGGCACACAUUGUCAGGCCCUCCUGAGGCUGCGUCACGGGUGUGUCCUUAACCUUGGGAAAAUAAA